GAACUGUAAGGAAGUAGGAACUAUUCCCAGUGAUAGUGAAGAACAGUCUCUAAAACCUGAGAAAACCAUUUAGGAGAAGGCUCUUUUAACUUUACAAUUCAUUUUGCAGAAAGGCAGCCGGCAGCACUGUGACCCUGUCCAGAAACUCAGGCAGUUAAAUGUUCUUCCCACAUUUAUGACAAAGAAAGAAACGACCUAGCCUUUGGCGGGUGGUGGCGAGCACGGAGAGGACACCAUGAAGGCCUCGGACACACUACCAGUACAAGGUGGUGGGUCGCUGCCUGCCCACCCCCAAAUGCCACACACCGCCCCCCUACCGCAUGCGAAUCUUUGCGCCUAAUCAUGUCGUCGCCAAGUCCCGCUCUGGUACUUCGUAUCUCAGUUAAAGAAGAUGAAGAAGUCUUCAGGGGAGAUUGUCUACUGUGGGCAAGUGUUUGAGAAGUCCCCACUGCGGGUCAAGAACUUCGGCAUCUGGCUGCGCUAUAACUCCCGGGGCGGCACCCACAACAUGUACCAGGAAUACCAGGACCUGACCACUGCGGGCGCUGUUACCCAGUGCUAUCGAGACAUGGGCGCCCGGCCAACUCCAUCCAGAUCAUGAAGGUGGAGGAGAUCACAGCCAGCAAGUGCUGCCGGCCGUCAAGCAGUUCCACGACUCCAAGAUCAAGUUUCCGCUGCCCCACCCGGUCCUGCACCAGACCCGUCAGUACAAGCCACGCUUCACCACCAAGAGGCCCAACACCUUCUUCUAGAUCCAUGCUUCAAGGUCAGGACCAGCAGAAUCGGUACUGCGGAUUCCUUCCAAUGAUCUUCUGCCAAGCUACAAGUACUCUCUGAGAGGCCGCGGGACUGCGUCCUCUCAUCAUGCCUCCCGGCCCAGCUGGGGUUGGUGAGGACUCCCAGUGUAACUCUGGUGUUUUACUACCUCUUAAUCAUUUCCCUUAGCCUGCCAAUUUGCUCAAAAUAGUCCCUGAAUUCAACUCUCAAGUACCCACUUAAGUCACAGUCAUUUUUUCUUUUUUUUUGAGAUGGGGUCUUGCUCUGUCAC